rnacentral:lncRNA from 1 species
AGGGCUUGCAAAAUAAGCACACUUGGGCUUAGUCAUGAUCUCUGUUUCAGAGUCUGUGAAAGUUUUCUACCCUUGUGCAAGGGAAUAUGAGGGUCUUAGAAGGAAGUCUGUCACUCUAGAGGGUCCUAGAGGGUCUAGAGGGUAAGUAGAAGAUUCAAACUUCUCACUGAAUUUAAAGCUAUAUAUAGUAUCAGUUCUGCUCUUUGCUUGUGUCUAAAUGUGGAAUGUAGCAGCAAGACACCAUCUUUCCCACAGCCACCUGGCUUAAUCAGGGAACAAGGCCAAGGGAAAGUCAUCAGAGGAGAGGAGAAGUGGAUUGCAAAAGGGGCUCCAGCAGUCUUUUCACACACUAUUAAAAAAGUAAAUUCCCAAAAGGUUGAUUUUUCUACUCAUGCCUCUCCUCACAAAUUCAGAAUGAAGUUUUCCAUGUGACAGAGGAAACAGGCUGGACAGGAACCCGACUGCUCUCUGAAUAGCAGCCAUACCACGAAUGAUUACUUGCAAUCUUCAUCUGUUGACAGAAUGAUUUGAAUUGAUUUAAAUAGCUCCCAGAUGGCUGGCUUAACACUUAAAUCUAAUAUGCAUCUAAGAUUCAUUGUCAUUACUGAUUUCUCAGUCAACCUAUCAUUUCUGAGUAGUGCCACAUCUCAGGUCUGUUGUGUGCAUUAGGUGAGUAGCUACAGUCCAUUAAUAAUAAAGUAGUAAAAUAUAAAAUACUGUAGUAGCUGCAGUGAACAGAAAUAGCACUUCAUGCCUUUGUGUUCCUUUAAUCCAGAGCUGAAUGCCCUUGGAGACCUUCUGGCCAGUCACCCGUGACCUGACUUCUGAAAUGAAACUUGAUGUCUGCCCAUGCCAUUAUUCUCCUGGCUACCAAGGAAAAGAAAUAGAAGAUAAACAAUCAUGUGAGUUUUGACGUAGGUCUGACCCACUGACUCAGUCCACAUGCAAGAGGCAGGACUGUGCAGGGGAGCCUACAAGCUCCUGAGCUAUUUUCCACAAGAAUUGCAAGAUCCAAAGUGCAUUAAUAGAAUGGCAUUGCUGGGACUCACAAGUCUGCUUGGAAACCACCCGUUAAAAGUUAACUUACUCUUGGACCAUCUGAAUCUCCAAUACAGCUUUUGCACACAUUAUAUGAAGAUGCUACUGGAACAUUCAUGUAUCGUGUUAUCCACAACGAGAAAAGCAGCUUAAGGAAGCACUGAAGCACUUUUAUUAAGGGUAAAGCUUCUUCACAACUGAACGUCUACUAUCCAUUUGACUGUGCAGCAUGGAAUCCACAGUCCAAAGCUAUACUGAGUUCUGAUACUCUUUAGAUAAACUUUUGGAAUUUAGCCUUACUUCUAAUCUAUAUCCAGCUUAAUUUCAGUAUCUAUCGACUUUACAGGUUGUAGCCAAGACAUUAAAUCUGCAGCACUCUGGAAUAACCACGUCACAUUUUUCAAUAAUAAAAUUAGGGAACUGCUAGAAAUGCUUUCA